UAUACUGUCAUCCUCAUCUUGUUUCCUUAGCUCUCAUAUUUGAGGUCUGUGUUUACAGUUUAGUCCCAGUUUCAAAACUCCACGCAAGUAUAUAAGAAAUUGAAUAUCUUAUCUGGGUAUGGCGAGGCUAUUAAGUGAUCUACACGUUUUGGCUAGCGAUGGCACAUCAGGGGUGAUGCUGCUGCUUUGCUUCGUUGUGAUGAGCCUGUCGAUUAUUUCGAUGAUCAUUUUCGGUUGCGGUGACUCGGGUGGGAGUAGUCCUCGUCGGCGUCACCACCAACACGCUGCUCAUGCCGCAGCCGCUCACCACCACCAACACGCUGCUCAUGCCGCAGCCGCUCAUCAACACGCUGCUCAUGCCGCUCAUCAUCACCAUGCUGCUGCUGCUCAUCAUGCAGGGCAUUAAUGUUCAAGUGUCGUUGGCAUAUAUUAGUAGCAGAUUCGGACAACGAUAUAUCAUGUUGCUUUACAUUUAUGUAUUGUUAAGUAGCCGAUUGUGUUUUAAGUAUUUCAAAUUAUCUUAUUCAUCCCCAAGAGUUUAUAUGUGUGUGUUUUUUUUGUCGGGAGUUUAUAUGUGUUUUUGAUACUGAAAAAAAAUAAUUCAAAGUGAGAGCAAAAAUUUAAUAGUUCUGAUUUUAUGUUCGUUCGGAUUUGUUAGAGGGGUGUAUUAGAUUGGGAUUUUAAAGUAUUUUUUCAUUCAUGAAAUCUGAGAGUAUUCCGCUGAGAUGGUUUAAAAUCUUGGGGUACUUAGUUAGAAUUUUAAAUUAUACUACAAAAUUUGGUGGUAUUUAAUUAGGAUUUUAAGUUAUGCUUUAAAAGUCAAUGAUAUUUAAAUGUGAUUGUUUAAAAUC
rnacentral:lncRNA from 1 species